GCGCGGCCAGGAGGGGUGGGUGGGGUCAGGCGCUGAUGGGACUGGAGAUGAGACGCUAAGCCAGAACUGAGCCAGAGGUGAGGCUACCGCCGCUGGAGGAGAGACUUUCCCCGCCCAAGGCAUGCUCAGCUGGAGGACGGACGCUGGCCCACCUUGAGAUUUGACUCACGUCUCUGGAUUCCUCGAGGAUACCUGCCAAUCGUCUUGUAAAUCCGUUUGAAGUCUAAGUAACUGCCCACACUUCCCUCGCUAGUUGGCCUGUAAUUAUUAGAAUGUUCUUAAGUGAAGACCUGCGCAAGGUUUUCUUGGAGGCUGGAACCAUGCGUAUGAAGUGAAUCUUGGUCUUAACGCGCAUCAACCCAUAUUCUGUGAAUAAGAGAAAGUAGUGCACAGCUGUAUACCUGUUUCACCUAUUCAAAGUCAGAGCUUUAUCCUCCAGGAAGCCCUUCCCAACCCAACCACCAGAACCCUGGCUGGCUACCCGCAGGGCGGUGACUGCUGGCGUAUGUCUGAUGCUCUGCGGUGAACUUUUCCCUCUCAUUCUCCCCAACCUAAACUGAAUGCUAGUCAACGCUGCUUCCCGGACCACUCGUGCUGGAGAUAGAGAGACUCAGGAGGAAGUCGGAGGAAGGAAGGAAGGAAGGAAGGAAGGAAGGAAGGAAGGAAAGAAGGAGCGUGAAGUCCCUGUUUACUUAAUCCUCUGGUCUUCUGUAGAGGUCAUCUAAGGCAGUCCUCUCAAGACAAGCUAACAACUCGACUCCCUUGCCCUGGUCCCUCUGGGAUUACGGGUUGGCGGUGGGUUGAAGGAGAAUGACUCACUCCUGCUCUGGUGGCUCCUGGUUUUAUCAGAUUGUAAGCCCAUCCAAGGCUCCUCUGGAGACACCUUGUAAUCUCCCCCAUCAAAAGAAGCAACGAGGAGGGAGAUUCUUGGCUCUCUGAGUUGUAACUUGAGAGCCACCAAAAUCGUAUAUGCAGUUGGUGGUUAAGAUAACUCAGAAGUCUGUAUCCCUAAGCGUGUCUUGCUGUUUCCCUGGGCAUCUCUCCUCUCAAGCUCUAUAUUUAAAAAUCUGUGUUAAGAGCAUCUUUUCACGAAUGGCAAGUCUUCUGUGAGAAGCUCACACCCGUGCUCAGGACUGUGCUCUUAUUAUUUUCUUAAGUGCCUUACCUCCUAUUUUUAAUGAAACCCAAACUCCUCUUCA